UGAGAUUAAAGAGCUGAGGUCUAUGGUGAUAGGUGGGAUGGGCUGAGAGUGGCUGAAGGGUGGGAUUAAAGAGCUGAGGUCUAUGGUGAUAGGUGGGAUGGGCUGAGAGUAGCUGAGGGGUGGGAUUAAAGAGCUGAGGUCUAUGGUGAUAGGUGGGAUGGGCUGAGAGUAGCUGAGGGGUGGGAUUAAAGAGCUGAGGUCUAUGGUGAUAGGUGGGAUGGGCUGAGAGUAGCUGAGGGGUGGGAUUAAAGAGCUGAGGUCUAUGGUGAUAGGUGGGAUGGGCUGAGAGUAGCUGAGGGGUGGGAUUAAAGAGCUGAGGUCUAUGGUGAUAGGUGGGAUGGGCUGAGAGUAGCUGAGGGGUGGGAUUAAAGAGCUGAGGUCUAUGGUGAUAGGUGGGAUGGGCUGAGAGUAGCUGAGGGGUGGGAUUAAAGAGCUGAGGUCUAUGGUGAUAGGUGGGAUGGGCUGAGAGUA